UACGGAGGAUGCGAGCGUUAUCCGGAUUUAUUGGGUUUAAAGGGUGCGUAGGCGGGCUUCUAAGUCAGCGGUAAAAAUUCGGGGCUCAACCCCGUCCGGCCGUUGAAACUGGGGGCCUUGAGUGGGCGAGAAGAAGGCGGAAUGCGUGGUGUAGCGGUGAAAUGCAUAGAUAUCACGCAGAACCCCGAUUGCGAAGGCAGCCUUCCGGCGCCCUACUGACGCUGAGGCGCGAAAGUGCGGGGAUCGAACAGG
rnacentral:rRNA from 1 species